rnacentral:rRNA from 1 species
GUCCACGCCGUCAACGAUGAUAACUAGAUGUUGGGGAGCUUGCUCCUUAGUAUCGAAGCUAACGCGUUAAGUUAUCCGCCUGGGGAGUACGGCCGCAAGGUUAAAACUCAAAGAAAUUGACGGGGGCCGGCACAAGCGGUGGAGCAUGCGGUUUAAUUUCGAUGCAACGCGAAGAACCUUAACCCUGCUCUUGACAUCUUCGGAAUCUUCUAGAAAUAGAUGAGUGCCUUCGGGAACCGAAAGACAGGUGCUGCAUGGCUGUCGU